GUACUACCUACCCACUAUACCUUUAAUACAUAGUUAACGAUCUGUAUCUUAAGGCAGAUUCUUGUUCAAGAAUUUGACUUAGAUUUUGAUUUGACCUAAAUUGCAGUCAUUAUUUCAUAAGUUGAGUACUUUUACACAGUACUGGAAGCAUGAGUUAGGUUUUGUAUUAUUGACUUAAGUAUACACAAAACAAAAAUACCUAAAUAAUAACAGCGUAGAAACUGACUAUAUUAACACGUUCGUUAGGGUGUCCCUUAAAAUUCAACUUCAAUAUAUUUUUACGCAUACCUUCUAAAAAGUUUCGUAUGGACUUAAUAAAGUCUAGAAAUAAAUAUAAGCCCGAUUUAUAAGCGAUAACCGGUGCCGACUUGAGUUUUUAACUUGUCCAUACAAGUUGCGCGGGAGCAGCGCGGCGACCUGUUAUUGCGAGUUUCAAUUGUCAUUUCAUAAGUGAUUUCUAACAUUUUUAGUGCCUUGUUGUUUAUUUUGUGAAAAUGUCUGUGAAAUUACGAAGUAAUAAACAAAAUAUUUUCCUUAUCGGACUGCCAAGCCACCAGAUAAAUGGUGCAAAAUUACCAUCUAAUCGACCAGUUCUCACCGUUUUAUUUUACAAUAUUCGUGAAGUCAAGCUGACUGUUAGUGAAAGUGCGAAUCUUGUUAUAAGAGAGUGCAUUAUAUUUUGGGAAAAAGCCAGAAUUCCUACGAAGACAAUCCCUAACUGCGUGAAGAAACUUGUUGAUUUAUAUCAUGUUUGGAGGGAGCUGCAAAAAAACUAUGCUUUUGACAGAAUGAAGAUAGAGGAAGACAAAGAUUUCUUAAGGAAACAGAGAGAGCCAGGUCGACCGGGAUGCUUAGGUGGAAUCGACAAAAAAUUGGCGGAGAAAGAAGAACGAGAUAGGUAAAGACGAUUGGAAGAACAGGAAAGAAAGGUAAAACAAAGAGAGUUAUUGGCUGUUGCAUCUACUUCUUCGAUAGAUAACUUGGAAUGUCUUGAGAAUUCGGAUGAGGAACAGAUUUCGAACUCUGAACUUAGUACUCAGAUUCCUUGCCCUGAAAACAGUUUUAAAAGAGGCACGAAAUUUCGUUAAAGCACAUAUUGCUAAGACAAACAUUACAUCUUUGUUAACUUUUUAUAAGACUGAACUAUUUGUUAGAGACGAUUACCGCGAAUUGGUUGAACUAUGCGGUGUGUUCUUAGGAGGAGACACAGUGUAUAAACUAAAACUCAGGCCCCCCGAGCUUUGCAUCAAGCGCGAUGGAUGGCGAGAGCAAUCUAUUCUAUAAAAAUAUGUUUGCUUCAAUCGCAACUUAAAAUUACUGCAAAGGACAAAAAUGCUCUACAAGAUGUUUGUUUAUUUAUCGUCACCUUGUAUACCAAACCUUGGCUCGAAUGUACAAUGGCAGUUAAAGCACCUAACCAAGACUUGUCCUUUUUGAAAGCUCUAAAAGAAUAUGAAAAAGUAGACGCGACAAUUUCCAAGGCAUCCAUAAGCAAGUUUAUUCGUCAUUUAUGGUAUUUGUGUGAAGAAACAGUCAUAUUAUCACUCUUUGAUGAAGAAGUUGAUACCAAAACCAAGACAAAAAUUAUUAAUAAUUUAAACAGAGACGAAAGUUCAGAUUCCUCUAAACGCUAUGUCCCAUCGAAGGAAGAAAUUACGCAAAAUUUGUUUGAUAUGACGCUGGAUGAUUCUGUAACUCAAAGAAGCAAACGAUUUCUAUCUCGACUACAGAUCGACGACAGUUUUCUUCGGGAAGACGUAUCUUCGUGGGGUGACAAUCCUGCUUUUUUGGAAGCUAGAAGACGAUUAAGUCGUUUGAAGGUCGUAAAUGACACUGCUGAAAGAGCUGUUAAAUUAAUGCAAGAUUAUAAUGGUCUUAUCACGGCUGAAGAAGAGCAAAAUCAGUUUUUGUUGCGUUGUGUUCAGGAACAUAGAAAUCUGUAUCCAGACUGUAAAAAAACUACACUAAAGAGAAGUUACCCUAAUUCAUUAUUAUUAUAAUUUGUAUUUAAAUAAAAGUUUGUAUUGAUAUUUUUUUAGUAUUACUCAUAUUUACUUUAUUUGUUGCAUUUUAAUUAGUUUUGGAUCAACCCAAAACGUCAGACCAAAACACCAUUUUUUAUUAAACUUUAGAGCCCGGUCGGCACAGGUUGCAAACAUGCUACAGAUAUGAAA
rnacentral:lncRNA from 1 species